AGAGUUUGAUCAUGGCUCAGAUUGAACGCUGGCGGCAUGCUUAAUACAUGCAAGUCGAACGGUAACAGAUUCUUCGGAAUGCUGACGAGUGGCGGACGGGUGAGUAAUACAUAGGAAUCUGCCCAUGUAGUGGGGGACAACUUGGGGAAACUCAAGCUAAUACCGCAUAAUUCCUACGGGAUAAAGAGGGCCACUGCUUGCAAGCUCUUGCUACUGGAUGAGCCUAUGUCGGAUUAGUUAGUUGGUAAGGUAAUGGCUUACCAAGACAGCGAUCCGUAGCUGGUUUGAGAGGAUGAUCAGCCACACUGGGACUGAGACACGGCCCAGACUCCUACGGGAGGCAGCAGUAGGGAGUAUUGGACAAUGGGCGCAAGCCUGAUCCAGCAAUGCCGCGUGUGUGAAGAAGGCCUGCGGGUUGUAAAGCACUUUCAAUUGGGAAGAAAGAUUAUGAGUUAAUACCUUAUA
rnacentral:rRNA from 1 species